CUUAUGCUAUAAAUUAUUGGAUUCAUCAGUGGGGGAAGGACACAGUAAGCCAUGGCAACUGAACUGUCGAGACCCACCACAGAUUUGGAAGUUAGUUUUAGGUUGGCGAAGAUGCCAGUGAAAGUAAAUAAGGAGACAACGCUGAGAUGAGGAAUGCAGGUAGAUAAGGCUUUGUCUCUACUCUGUGCCGAAGGAAUUCUGAACACUGUUUUGAAGAUCUCCACAUAGGACACAACUAUGAAACUGAAGCAGCCGAGUCCUAGACAUGCACUCAAGCCCAGAGCCACAGCUUCAACAAGGUACAAGUCAGAACAAGAGAGCUUAAGUAGUUGAGGUAUCUCACAGAAGAACUGAUUGAUGAUGUUGGAACAGAAAGGAACAGCGAAGGUGGCUCCAGUGUGUAAUGUUGCGAAAAGGAGACCACUGAUCCAUGUACUAGUCACCAUUUGGAUGCAGGCUUCCUUAUUCACUACUGUUUCAUAAUGCAAUGGGUCACAAAUGGCAACAUACCGGUCAUACGCCAUGACUGUGAGGAGGAAAAAGUCUGAUGCCAUGAAGAAAAAGAGAAAGAAGACUUGAGCGAUGCACUCCGAAUAAGAUAUCAACCUGGUAUUCAUGAGACAGUUAGCCAUGGCUUUUAGUAUUGUGACUGAGAUGUACCCAAGGUCCAUAACAGACAAAUUUGCCAGGAAGAAGUACAUGGGAUUGUGAAGAUGGGGAUCUGUGACCACAGCCACAAGGAUGAGGAUGUUCCCUAACAAUGCUGCCAUAUAGAUCAGUAGAAAGAUCACAAAAUAUACAAGCUGUAUCUCCCGAACUUCAGAGAAACCUAGGAGGAGGAAUUCCGUAAUGGUGCUUUCAUUGGACAUUUUGUCCUUAAUACAUUUUGCCCUACAAAAAAACAGGCAGCAUAACCAAAGUUAGUAAGGCAGAAUUCUUUUUUCUUACUCAUAUGCCCCCUUUUAAAAGGCUACUUUUAAAGUACACAUUCCUCACAUACAAAAAAAAUUCAUUGCUCCACCCCCCACCCCACCCCUCUAUUUUAAUAGAAAUGGAUUUGGGGGUAGUGGAUGAGAUGUAGCAAAUGUCUGGUUAUUGUAGGUUGACCAGAAAGAAGUACAUAGGAGUGUGGAGUUUGUGGUUCAGGGCAACAGCAAUGGUGAUUAGGAAAUUCCCCACUAAGGCUGUUAAAUAAAUGGAGAGAAAUAUCACAAAGUAAAAAAAAAUCUUCUUCUCGGUCACUGGAAAACCCCAUCAGAAGAAAUUCUCUCACUGUAGACUGGUUGGCCACCUUAAUUCUUUAGUAUUUCUUUAAACAAUUUCUUGAAGAGCAGCUCUGUUAUUGUGUUUUAGCAGCACCAGCAGAGGUGUGUUGCUAAAUGUCUAAAAUUAGAAAGGAGUUAAUGAAAGUCUGUUGGAUGAGGAAACAUGCAGGCAAUUGUAUGUGGGGUUUGCCCCCUAUCCCAAUAUGAGGUAAUGGGUUAUGCCAGCAGUAGACAUUCAACUGACACCAUUCAUUCUCCCCAGUACUAAUAGAAUUUUAGAGUUGUAAAGGAGCAUGGGGAGCAUCUCUGCAAAGACCCAUCUUGGUUUCAUGUUGAAUCAAGAUUGAGAAAGUAGAAUCAAAUAGAAACUACAGCAUACCUUGCUAUUAGAUGUAAAUAAGCAGAUUCACAUUGGUUUGGUUGCAUAAAGGACAUUUACUAUGGUGGGGUUUUUUGGGGGGGGUUUUGCGAACCAUAAUGCUGCUUCUUUAUUUAAAAAAGCAAAUCACAUACCACCUAGCAUUAAUGAAAAAUAAUUUGGCUUUGGUGAGCAUUCAGAAUUUAAGACCAAUCACCAGAAUUUUGAAACACCACUGUAUUAUCUUCUCUUACCUAUAAAUACUACCUAUUUUUUCAUAGAAUAAUCAUGUCUUCAUUUAUCCUACUGCUGUAUUAACAUUUUAUGGUCUUUUCAGAACUGAAAUAUGAGCACUAGAUGUAAAGAAAUUUAAAAAAUCUCCUUGGAGUGUGGUUGCAUAAAGGAACUUUACACUUGAUGUUUUGGUAUUUUUGCUAACCCAAUACUUUAACUUUCUUUUUAAAAAUGCAAACUACACACUUCCUAGCAUUAAUGAAAAAUCAUGAAGCUUUAAAGCCCAAUCACGAGAAUUUUGAAACAACACAUUAUUAUCUUCUCUUACCUAUAAAUGUAAUCACUUUUUAUCAGAGAAAAAUUAUGUUUGCAUUAAUCUUACUGCUGUAAGAGAUCUUUUCAUAACUGAAAUAUAAGCACCUUCCAAGCCCUAGUCUGCACUGAGGAUGAACUAAUAGGAUUCUUUUUUUUUUUUUUAAAUAAUUUUUAUUAAAGUUUUAAACAAAGAGAAAAAAAAAACAACACACAUAAAAAAAACAAUACAAAAUUUAACAAUAAAAACACACAACAUAACAAUUUAAAACAAACUCUCUUUUACAUUCCCAAUUUUAAAUUACUUAUUUUCUGGACUUCCUCAUACCUCCCUCUUUUGUAUUCCAAUCUACAUUAUUUGUCCAGCAAUUUCUUUUCCACUUUUUAAAACCCAAUCUUUAAUUUGAUAAAAUAUUAAACUAUAUAACAUAAGCAUAAUCCUUGUUCUUAAUGUCAUAUACCUUUAAAUUUUUCCCAAUCUUAAUCUUUAAUCUUAAUCUAUCCUAGCUUUAACCUAUACAGCUGGAAACCACUUAUUUUCAAUCCAACAUCACUCUAACAUUCCUUAAUUUUGCAGUAUUUCUGAAGAUAGUCUUUGAAUUUCUUCCAAUCUUCCUCCAUCGACUCUUCUCCCUGGUCACGGAUUCUGCCAGUCAUCUCCGCCAAUUCCAUAUAGUCCAUAAGUUUCAUCUGCCAUUCCUCCAGCGUGGGAAGUUCUUGUGUCUUCCAAUACUUUGCGAUGAGUAUUCUUGCUGCUGUUGUUGCAUACAUAAAGAAAGUUCUAUCCUUUUUUAACACCAUUUGGCCCACUAUGCCCAGGAGAAAGGCCUCUGGUUUCUUGGGAAAGGUAUACUUAAAUACCUUUUUUAAUUCAUUAUAUAUCAUUUCCCAGAAAACCUUAAUCUUUGGGCACGUCCACCAAAGGUGAAAAAAUGUACCUUCAGUUUCUUUACAUUUCCAACAUUUGUUAUCGGGCAAGUGAUAAAUUUUCGCAAGCUUGACUGGGGUUAUGUACCACCUGUAUAUCAUUUUCAUAAUAUUCUCUCUUAAGGCAUUACAUGCCGUAAAUUUCAUACCAGUGGUCCAUAACUGUUCCCAGUCAGCAAACAUAAUGUUAUGUCCUACGUCCUGUGCCCAUUUAAUCAUAGCCGAUUUUACCGUUUCAUCUUGAGUAUUCCAUUUCAGCAGCAAGUUAUACAUUCUGAACUAAUAGGAUUCUACUCACCUCUGUCUUUGUCUGGAAGAAGAAAGUUCCAAAAUGCUGAAGUGUGGUCUUUAGCAAAUGAUUUAUAGUUUGUGAUAAAGAGGAUUCAACUGAGCCUCCCUGCUUUCUGUAGUGUUUCAAAGAAUCACUCCUUGGAGAACAUCACCAUGCGGACUUGCAAAUCCUAAUUUACAAAACAAGUGAUGCAAUUGUGUAUAUUUCCUACCAUUAUUUCCCCUCUAUCUUUAAACCACUGACCCUUAACUUCAGUCUUAUGUAAAGGAUGCUUAAGAGUGACUUGCUGAUGAAUGGAGACAGAAUGGGAAACUGAUUUCAAAAUCUGCUUGGUUGUUAUAUCUUUUUUAUUGACCAAGAUGUCAAGCUGCAACUCGAAUGAAGUACUGAAUCUGAUUAACAUAAGUAAAUUAUUCUGACUAUUCUGAGCCAGUAUAGUGUUGUGCUUAGAGUGUUGGACUAGGACUAGGGAACCCAGGUUCAAAUCUCUGUUCAGCCAUUAAGAUAACUGGGUGACCUUGCGCCAAUUUUCUCAGGCUAAGCUACGUUACAGAACUGUCAUGAGGUUAAACUUGGGAAGGAUGACCCCCAGCUCCUUGGAGGAAAGGGGGGAUAUAAUGACAAUAAGUAAAUAUUGAGAGCAAACCAUCUGAGACAGGUCUAUGAUUUUAAACUGGAGCGAUAGAUUUGGUUAAAGAAACUUGGGAAGGAUCCAAAGCAAAAUGUUAUGCUUUGAAAUAGGAUGUCGGUGUGUUAGGUGUUCACACCUCGGCUGGAGAUGAAUUAGGAAAGGCUGAAGGACUCUAGCUGGAGUGAAGCUGGUUUGAGAAACAAUACUGUUAUGAGUUUCAUUUUUAUUCCUAGAUCCCCUUCUAAUUGCUGGAUCUGGCAAGUGUUAAAAUCUAAGCAAGGAUUUUAUUUCCUGGAAUAGCCUCUGCUGUACCUCAUUCCAAAGGAAACACAAACCCUGUUCAUUUUGAAAUGAUUAACAAUCUCUGCAUUUAAAUUGCACCCAUUUUUUACACUUUCUGAACACACUCCUCCUGUAAAAUACACAUUUUUCAAUUCUUUACAUUUUCAAUUCUUUACAAUUAAUUUCCCUAUUAAACGUCGACUUUGUACAUAAAUACAUUUUGUGAGCACUUCUUGCAUUUGGAAACCUCAUUGCAAGAAGGAUCGGUCGAUCGGUCUUAAAUAUUGAAUCAUGUUGUUGAAUUUAUCAAUGGGCUUGUCCCUACUUUUUCCAGUCCUCACUCCUUUGCCAAUUGCUUCCAUGAUCUUUUGAUGUGAACUACCAACACAGCAAUUUUAUUCAGCAUUAAAUGAGCAGAAAUUUCACAUAUGAUAGAUUUCUGAGAAGUGUGUUGGAUAAUUGCAGCCCCUUCUCUCCCUCCCAUCACAGGUUAUUUUGUUACCAAUAAUCAGCCACAAACAGCACAGGAGAUUUUGGAAGAGCAUUUCACAUCAGCUUUUAUUUCAUUCAAAACCGCUAAGGAGUCUCUUUUACGUUCGAAGCAUUAAUGUCUGGCAUGGAAAACUGUACUUUGACUUUCAUUGCUGGAAUUGGAAGUGCAACCCACUCACAUAUUUAAAGCAAAACUUGUUGUUACUAACCCAACAAAGUAAUGGUCAUUGAAUUCAAGUAACAAUGACUCUGAUGAAUGAAUCAAAAUAGUUAUCAAAAAUUAGUUGCCAAAGGCUUUUAUUUGCACUAUAGGAUUUUUAAAAAUAAAAUAAGAAUAAUUCUGACUUUCUAUCCACAGUCAUAACCUUCAUGACAACUGAAGUUAUAGUAAAUAUAAUUAACUAAAGGUUUAAAAAAAUCUGUUCUAGGAACAAGUCAAUAGAAACUGUAUCUCUUUAUCUCUUUUCAUACGCCACAUGCAGCCUCAGCAGCAAUAACCAGGAAAAAGCAUUUAAAAAGCCCAGAUCAUCCCUGUGGGAUCCAUUUCAUAUGCAUGCUGAAAUGUCAUUAUCUUAGCCUUACAUCUAAAGACAAGCAGAGAUGAAGCCCAAAGAACCUACCAGUAACACCAUGAUCUAGUCUAGUUUAGUCAACAUUACACAAUUGUAUGUGUCUACCCACUUUAUUAAAAAAAAAAGAAAGCAAUGGGACACAGAACAGAACAGGGUCAUAAUGAAGACAUAAGAACAUGGGUAGGUACACUUUAAAUCAUGGGAGCUGACUUGCCCCCCAUAUUGAUGCGUCACAUGAUGGCGCUGGGAGGAGGCAGGAUGCAUGGAGGGUGAUCUGUGCCCUUUGUUCAUCUCAGUCCCCGCCUGGCUCCUGGGUGAGGGCAGGGGCACUCGGAGGGCACCCGGUGGUGGUGGAGGAUGGUUGCCCCCUCAAUAUUGCAGGGCUCAGCCCCCUGCCUACCAAUAUUGAGGGGGCCAAAGCCCCUUCCAGUCCCUAUAUGUGGCGCCCCUGCUUCAAAUCAUCUUGUGUACUAUGUGCCAGUCAGAAACUUCCAUAUCUGACUCAGGGAGUAGAUGUUCCUGUUUGCAUAUUAUGCCACAGACCUAUACAGCCACAUUUUCCUUUGGUAUGCUUUUUCCAGGAUCUGCCAUAGAUUUUCCACAACACUGCUUUGAUCUCCUUGUUUCUCAUGCUAUAAAUUAUUGGAUUCAUCAGUGGGGGAAGGACACAGUAAGCCAUGGCAACUAAACUGUCCAGACCUGCCAGGGAGUUGGAAGUUGGUUUUAGGUUAGCGAAGAUGCCAGUGAAAAGAAAUAAGGAGACAACGCUGAGAUGAGGAAUGCAAGUAGAGAAGGCUUUGUCUCUACUCUGUGCCGAAGGAAUUCUGAACACUGUUUUGAAGAUCUCCACAUAGGACACAACUAUGAAACUGAAGCAGCCGAGUCCUAGACAUGCACUCAAGCCCAGAGCCACAGCUUCAACAAGGUACAAGUCAGAACAAGAGAGCUUAAGUAGUUGAGGUAUCUCACAGAAGAACUGAUUGAUGGUGUUGGAACAGAAAGGAACAGCGAAGGUGGCUCCAGUGUGUAAUGUUGCAUAAAGGAGACCACUGAUCCAUGUACUAGUCACCAUUUGGAUGCAGGCUUCCUUAUUCACUACUGUUUCAUAAUGCAAUGGGUCACAAAUGGCAACAUACCGGUCAUACGCCAUGACUGUGAGGAGGAAAAAGUCUGAUGCCAUGAAGAAAAAGAGAAAGAAGACUUGAGCAAUGCACUCAGAAUAAGAUAUCAACCUGGUGUUCAUGAGACAGUUAGCCAUGGCUUUUAGUAUUGUGACUGAGAUGUACCCAAGGUCCAUAACAGACAAAUUUGCCAGGAAGAAGUACAUGGGAUUGUGAAGAUGGGGAUCUGUGACCACAGCCACAAGGAUGAGGAUGUUCCCUAGCAAUGCUGCCAU